UGAGGAAUCUUGCGCAAUGGGGGAAACCCUGACGCAGCAACGCCGCGUGAGUGAGGAAGGUCUUCGGAUCGUAAAGCUCUGUCGGGUGGAAAGAAAUGUAUGGGGUUAAUAGCCUUCAUACUUGACGGUACCACCAAAGGAAGCACCGGCUAACUCCGUGCCAGCAGCCGCGGUAAUACGGGGGGUGCAAGCGUUGUUCGGAAUUAUUGGGCGUAAAGAGCGUGUAGGCGGCUUGGUAAGUCAGAUGUGAAAGCCCUGGGCUUAACCCAGGAAGUGCAUUUGAAACUGCCAGGCUUGAGUAGGGGAGAGGGAAGUGGAAUUCCUGGUGUAGAGGUGAAAUUCGUAGAUAUCAGGAGGAACACCGGUGGCGAAGGCGACUUCCUGGCCCUAUACUGACGCUGAGACGCGAGAGCGUGGGUAGCAAACA
rnacentral:rRNA from 1 species